AAAAUCUUUCCCUCUUUUCCCUCUCUUCCCCGAAUCUCUCUCUCUCUCACUACUAUGUUGCUUCAGCCAGGCCCAAACGGUCGUCGUCCCAUCGCCAGAGCCGUACACGCGCCAACCAAUUCGAACCACUAGCCCUCGAAACGUUGACCCCCGCGAGCUCACCACAGUACGCGCCACCCAGGGCUGUCAACCAACAGUCCGAAGCCGUCCGCCUCCUGCACUUUCCGGCAAGAUUUUGACUACCCCGAGCCUCCCCAAGUUUAACCAGCAUCACCACCAUACUCCUCAUGGUCUAAGCUUCAAAACCCACCCAAGGAUCGGCCUUACUAGUGGUCGGAAAAAUAAAGGGUAUUAGUCGGAAUCCAUGGAGGUCCGAAGCUUGUAGUGGAACCACCGCCGUUGUCAUCAUUAGACAGGUAAACAAAGCUUCAAAUUUCAAACUAGAUGUGUGUAUGUAUAUAUAUAUAUAUAUGUGUGUGUGUAUUGACGAUGAAAUAGAAACAAGGGGAAGAUCGCAUCAUAGCGAAUUUGGGGGAUUCAAUGGUUGUUUUGUGAACUAAGAACUGGAUGUGUGUAUGUAUAUAUAUAUGUGUGUGUAUGUGUGUGCAAGUAGGAUUUUUGCAGACUUCCAGAAACGUUUUCAUCCUGAUUCCCAAAUCUAUAUACCAAUUCCAACAUGGUCAAACCAUCAUAACAUUUGGAGAGAUGUCCAGGUUCCUCAGAGGACUUUCCAUUACUAUCACCCAGAAUCUAAGGGGUUAGAUUUUGCUGGAUUGAUGGAUGACAUUAAGGUAAGUUAAUGUACCUUCUCAAAAAUAAUUAUUAAGCUUUAUACACAAAUUUCAAUAAGCCAAAUUUGUUUACUCUAAUCUAAUGCCCAACCUGCCAAACCUUCUUUUAAUGUCUAUAGUCUUAACUGCAAAAAUGAAUUGCACUACAUCACAAUCACAAAUAUUUUAGGCGUGGUUUGAUUUUGUUUCUCUACACCAGCACAAAUUAGCAGAUACUUCUUUUAACUAUGGACGGUAGAAGUAUCAUCUAUAUAUAUAUAUUAAAUAUAUGUAUGUAGGAAGCUAGUAUAUUCUGGUGUAUGAUCACUCAUCAUAAUUAAAGUAUCCAAUUUUUAUUGGGUAAUAUUCCUUUUUGGUGAACGAUGUAUCUAUCAAUCUAUCUGGUUCUUGUAUAUAGAAAAUAAAUGGUAUAGAAAAAGUAACAAGGUAGUCAGAUCAGAUCGUUAUCGUUGGAGAAAUAAAGGCGCACAUUGAUGAGGGGAGAGCACAUAUAUCAUUGCUGUCCCUGAUGUCACCUACCAUCGUCUCACUCCCAAAGACCAAUUCAUGGUUCUCGCCACUGAUGGGGUAGUUAAGAACUAAGAACUUAUAUUGAUAUUCUUAGAUAUGUUGGAUUUUAUAAACUGUUUCUGAUUGGUGUGUAAAUGAUGAAUAGGUUUAGGAUGUGUUGAUGAAUGGUCGGCGAUUCGUCUCUUCUUUCAGAAUUAACAUUAUUAUCUUGGUUUGAAGACUUGAGAUGUUUUUGUUGCACUGUUAUUUGUUUCAAUCAAAAUAAUGGGCAUGCUUGCCUCUGUCUAUGCUUUGCUUUAUCUUUUGUUUCAACCAACGGUCGGAAACUUGUCUUUGUUUAUUAAUAGGAAAUAUUAAUGAAAGUUCUUUCUUAUAAACCUUUAUAGGGAACCAGCCGCCCCACACAUUACCAUGUCUUGUUUGAUGAGAACAAGUUCAAUGCUGAUGCCUUGCAAGUUCUCACGAACAAUCUCUGCUACACGGAAAUACUAUUCAUUUUCAUUUUUUGUUCUCCAAUUUCAACAUUCUAUUGUGAACUAUUUUUGUUGCUCCUGUUCUUGACCUGAAUUUGGUUUUUCAGGUAUGCAAGGUGCACCAGAGCAGUCUCCAUCAGCAUGUGCUGUGUUGCACUAUCUCGAGCGCUAUGGUAUAAAUUCCUAUCCCGAGCCCAUUGCACUAUCCUGAGCGCUAUGGCUAAAACUCUACUUGGAUAUUUAAGAGAACCAAGACAAUUAUAUAAGAGAAUCAAGGCAACAAGAAAUUCUUCAAGUUGUUGGGUAUUAUUUUCUUUCUUGCUUGUAAGAAUUAUGUACAGUGAGGAUUUGAUGUAUUAUUUACAUUGAUAAUAAUGAUUUUUUAUUGAGAAUUAUUUAGUCUCAUGAGGAUUUAAUGUAUUAUUUACAUUUCAAUUGAAUGAAUAGAUUUUGUAUGUA